AACCUGCCCAAGAGAUCGGAUACACCUGGAACAGAUGCUAAUACCGGAUAACAACAGAUGAUGCCUAUCAACUGUUUAAAGAUGGUCUGCUAUCACUCUUGGAUGGACCUGCGGUGCAUUAGCUAGUUGGUAGGGUAACGGCCUACCAAGGCGAUGAUGCAUAGCCGAGUUGAGAGACUGAUCGGCCACAUUGGGACUGAGACACGGCCCAAACUCCUACGGGAGGCAGCAGGU
rnacentral:rRNA from 1 species